UUUUCUUUUCUUCCCUUCUUUCUCUUUCUUCUCCCCAUCUGUUUCGCGACACCGUUCCUACUUCCUUCACUCGACAAAUUCUCAUAUUUGCGAGUAAACAAUCUCCGUUCUUUGCUCUUUCUGAUUAAACAAUCUUCAGUCGGGGGUGAUGAUUAAGCAAUCAGAACAACACAUCAUAUGGAACCGUUGAUUCGUUGAGAGUCUUCUCCACCAAAUCAAAGCGUUUCCUUCACUGCUUUUCAAGAAUUUGAUGAACCAAUCUCCAUCUGAUGUUAAUUUCUUGUUUCUAUUUGUUUGAAUUCUUGUUUUAUACCGAUUUAUAAAUUAGGGUUUUGGAUUUUCGAAAAUUAGGGUUCUUCAAUAUCUCUUUUUAUUUGUGUUCGUAGGCAUGAUUUUAAUUAGGAUUAACGAAAUUAGCCAUGAAUGAAGAUGAAAGCUGUGCAGAAUUACUGAUGGUUAGAACUUGUUUUACUCGCUUGGUAUUUCUUGUUUGGUGAGAAAAUGGCUAAAGCAACAAAGACCAUGUCCCUGCGUGUUGUGACUAAGAUGUUUGUGUGUUUGUUGGUUGGGUUUUUGUUGUGGCUUGUGCAGACACUGUUGGUCGUAGUUCUUGCUUCCUCGUUCCAUAUGAGCACUUACUUUGACAGGAUUCAAGAGUCUUUGUUUACUCAGUACGUGAUUGAGACGCUCUCUGGUCCUCCUUUGAUUGAGAUACAAAAAAACGAGGAAGAAGAAGAGAGAAUCAGGAAAUGAUGCAAGGCACCAAGCCUCUGAAAGUGCACAAAAGGGUAUAUUGUGAAGGUGCAACCUAUUGAAGUGCCUACUAUUCCUUUUAGUGAACUCAAGGAAGCAACAAAUGAUUUUGGUUCCACUUCUCUCAUCGGUGAAGGCUCCUAUGGAAGAGUAUAUUAUGGAGUUUUGAACAAUGAGAGUAUAUUAUGGAGUUUUAAAUUAUGUUUUACUUAAAAUAUUUUUAAUUCAAAAAUAAGAACCUCAAUAAAAGCUUUACCAUUGGAGGAGGAUCAUUUUCAUUAA